CAGGCAUUGAUCGACUCGACUUUUGACCAUGGGACAAAAGCAGGGUAAAUUCAUGAUGCAGGUCCUGCCCUUGUCCUGCCUCCUUGUGGCCAUUUGGUGCAAGAAUGCAUCCCAGAUAAAGUAGAUGCUCUGGCUUGUUUUAUGAUCAGACACAAAUUUGCUGAAGCUCGAAAUGAAACUAAAAGGUC